AUUGAACGCUGGCGGCAGGCCUAACACAUGCAAGUCGAACGAGUGGCGGACGGGUGAGUAAUGUCUGGGAAACUGCCUUAUGGAGGGGGAUAACUACUGGAAACGGUAGCUAAUACCGCAUACCAUCGGAUGUGCCCAGAUGGGACUAGCUAGUAGGUGGGGUAAAGGCUCACCUAGGCGACGAUCCCUAGCUGGUCUGAGAGGAUGACCAGCCACACUGGAACGGAGACACGGUCCAGACUCGUACGAGAGGCGUCAGUGGGGAAUAGUGCACAGUGGGCGGAAGCCUGAUGCAGCCAUGCCGAGUGUAUGAAGAGGGGCUUCGGGUUGGAAAGUACUUUCAGCGGGGAGGCGUUACCCGCAGAAGAAGCACCGGCUAACUCCGUGCCAGCAGCCGCGGUAAUAC
rnacentral:rRNA from 1 species